rnacentral:tRNA from 1 species
ACUUAAAUAAUUUAAAAAAAAUAUUGAUUUGUGGAGUCAAAAAUAUGAAAAUUCAUUUUAAGUU